CGGGCCGCGAGGCGCGGGGUGGGGCCGCCCCCGAGGCCGGCUGAGGUGAGGCGCUGCCCGCGGGGAGGGGCCGCGCCGCCGCCCUUAUCCGCCCGCGCAGCGCCGCCUGGGGCUCGCGAUAGGGCCGGCCGCCCCCAGCUCCCCGCCCUGCCCCGGCGGCGGGCCCCGAUCCCAUUUAUGAAGAUCAAACGUGAUAUCCAUCCUGAGAGCGCAACUGCGGUGAAUAAAUACCUCUGGCUUAGAGCUAAUUAAGAAAUAACAACCCCAGCUGUUGGACCGACCUGCAGAAGCCUUGUUGUAACCCUGACAUCUGCCCGCCUCCAGCAGUCCCUGCGAGUUCCUGGCCACAUCAGCCUUCCCUGGUCCUGCAGCAGCGUGCAGAGGAGACUGGCCAGGCUGGUGGUGGGUCCGUUCUGUGCCUGGAACUGUACGGGAGGUGGUCCAUCUGUCCACUGCAAGAUAACAAACAGCAUGAAAAUCCUCCAGCCACGACCUGGGAAGGGGAGGAGCAGCAGCAAGGCCAGAAAAAGGAGCUGCCCACACACACAUUGACUACCUUGAGAUCAUUUACUGAUUUCAUGACAAGCUGAGCAUCAGGUUUGACUCUGUGUCAUGUGCAUGGAGCAGGGGGAACUGUGACUUGCACAAAUGACAGACCUCAAUUUAGAUGCUUCUGUUUGAGCCCAUUCUACAGUGCAGCUACAGUGUUUCCAGAGUGAAUGAAGCCUCUGGUUCUCACCCGUUUCAUGUUUUCCUCUCAAAUUUAUCAAAAUCUCCUGAACUAGGCAGAUUUUGUAGUUUUUAAUCCUCUUCCACCUCCACAUUUUUAAUCUAGCAUGGAUUACACAUAAGCCAGCAAUGGCAAGCAAAGUCAGCAGAGCAUACAGCACAGGGGGAUGGGCUGUGGGCAUCACCAACGUGGGCUGCACAGCACAUGUGGGUCUCAGGAUCCCUCUGCAGCCAAAGCAAUCAGCUUCUUCCUGGCAGCCUUUUUUUUCCCCUCUCAUAAAGGGAACGUUGGGAAAAGAUGUCAGGUUUCCCUGCAUCCCACAUUCACAUUUGGACGUUAUUUCAGUCUGAAAGAAUGGCUUAUCUUUCACUUUUGCUGAAUUCCAGCAUAAGAGAGCACUUUGGUAUUUUUAAGCUAUGUUAAAAGUGUUUCUGACAGUGAGAAGUCCAAAAGAGGAACCCCUUAAGGUAGCAGCUCUACAGACAUUGAAUGUCAUUAACUGGAAAUUCAGAUUUAUAGAUAAGGUGAAAACCCACAAAUGCUAGAAUUAUCUCAAUAGAAACCAUACUCAUAGCAGUACUCAAAGCAUUCCCCUGAAGAAGGGGAUCUAAACAUUAAAAUUAAACCCGAGUAUCCAUUAAUUUUCUUUCAAAAGUAGCAGCUGUCCCCAGCACAAAGUGGCUACCUGCUACAGAAGGCAUUAAAAGAAAGUUCUGGAGUGCCAAUAAAACCACUGAAGGAAACAAAGACCUCACAGGGAUAUCGAGGGAAAGCAAAGCACGCUGUCCUGCCUCAAGAGUGCCCAGAACCAGAAGAUGAAGAUUGCUUACCGUGAUUAAAUUGUGUUCUGGAAGACUGCAUGCUUCAAUGUGGUCCUGGAGGAGCUGCUGUGAGAAGUUCUGAUGCAUCUGUGCUGCCUCAUGUGCAUCCAUUGCAUUUCCACAGGCUUUGUUCAGGUCUGAAAGACAAGAGCUUCAUUUGCUCACCAAGAACCACCGUUCACACUUAUCUUCUCUGAUGUGACUCUUCCCCAUAGUAAUGAAUGAAUGACUUAAACUGCCAAUAUAUCAAGGCCAUCCCACUCAGAAGGGCAGGGGCACAUUGAGAACCUGAGCCUUUCCUCCUUCCAACAUUGCAGGAUUUGAUGUUAUUUUAGUUUCCAAUCAUUCAAAUAACACUACGCUAAUUGGACAAGCAGGAAAGCACCUCCUUACCCAGCAGAGCCCCUGUGCUGCAGGCACACACACUCUCUAUGUUCUGGCACCAUCUAGUGGGAAUGAGGGCUCACCAGUUUGUCACCAUGCUUUGGCAGCACAGACCUCACAGCAGUUCAUUUAUUUUCCCUCCUCGUUCCCCUUUGCUUUCAGGCCCUCACAGCCUGCAGCUCUGCCCAUCCCCAACGCAGCUCCUAUUGUCUUGUUUCCUGUGAGGUUUGCUGGCAUAUAUUAGCUCAGCCACAUUUCAGAAUGGUAACACAGUAAGCAUGGCAAUGUUAGCUAACAGGGAUAAGCAGUGUAGAGGUGAGGGCUGAGACACACAGCUCCUGUUGGUGAACAAGUGCUGGCAUUCCACUGCUCCUGAUGGAGCACCUCUUCAAAAGAGAAUCUAUCCGUUCCAUGGGAGAGCUCUUAGAAAAACCAAAGCAGAAUGGGAAUGGUGCCUCUGUGACAGGAGCAGCAACAGCUGAACAAGGGACAGCCUUUCAUCUACAGUAGAUUCAUUAUUAUUAUUGGCAUGUUUUGUAUGUCAACCACCACUUGGAAACGAAUGAGAGAAGUUAUUUCAAUUGCCUAGAAGCAAUUUUGUAGCAAAGGCAGUAGCAAAGCAGAACAUAAGCCUGGCCCAGUGCUUGGUUUACAGCACCAUGCUUAUAGCAAACACGACAGCUUAAUAGAAACUGAAACUGUGGGGUAAGUUCUUGGGAAAGGGGUAGAGUUACUGCUUUAUUUUCUAGUGAAAGCAAAUCAAUUGCAGCAUUAACGCUGACAGUCUGCCAAGAAGCUAGUCAAUAUUUGAACAAAGCAUCCUGGGGCCCAUGCAAGUCAGAUUAAACAAUAUUUAUGUAUGAGAGAUAUAACAGUCUCUUGUAUUUAUUAAGGCCCCCACACAGAAGCAAAGCCUAAUAAAAUGUUUACUGAAGCAAGAGCUGCAGUCAGAGCAAAGCCCUGCAACAACAGCACGGAUGCUGCAUGGCUGUGACCUGCAGCCCUUCCCAAGCAGUCACAGUAUUCUGCACGCCCAUGCACUCAGUCUGCAUGACGAGCAUCCCCACACAGACUCCCAGUGAGCAGCAGUGGUUCUUUGCCACUCAUUUUAAGCACAAGACAUUUUCCUCCCUUACCUCUCAGCAGAGCUGAAGACCACAGCUGCACAGACAUAUCCGGGAUCUUGCUUGCAAGCUGCAUGGCUGGCACUACCAUAUUAUUACUUUCCUGGUGAAAAGCAGACAUCAACAUCAAAGACGUACUUUUUCCCCUUCCAAAUAUGUAAUGUAUCGAAGAGAUGCUUUUGCCUAAUUUAAUUGCUAGCUAGCAAGCUGAAAUGCUUAAUGGGACAAUAACGCAAACAGAUCAUCUAAAGCUGCCUGGAAUUUUGCCUUGUCCCAGGCAUUAUGGUGUCUGUGUUGUGCAAGACAAUAGAAAUAUUUCACACAUUCUGGCAUACGAUGAGAAUUCAGAAGAGCUCACACCCACAAUUCCUUCCAAGCAAUCCCACUGCAUGACGUUACUUGUCCUUUAUUCUAUUGUUUUUUUUUUCCCCCCCCGAGUGAUUUCAGGCAUUACAGAAACACCUAUCUCUACAAUAGCAGCCAAACACUACUGCUUUGUAAAGAGUGUUGCUCAGUGUGCAAGAAUGGUGUAUAUCCACGAGCUGCCGGCUCUCAGUGGGGCACCUACAUACAAACACUCCUGAACACAACCUGAGAAGCGCCCCAAUUUGCUCUGGCAAAUCAAUAAGCACACAGUAGCAGCAGACACACGAAGGCUUACCCUGUGAUUCCCUAAUACGUAGAAUAUAUGACCCAGGAGCACGAGGGAACAUGCUGUUAAUCGAUUCAAAUCUUCUGCAUUUGACAUUUUCAGCGUCUCUCGCAAAAACCGCCUGCCAACACAGAGCACAGCACGGAGCAAUUAACCAAAAUCUGCCUUCCCUGAUGUCUUUAAGAAAUGUCAUGAAGAACCCAAUGAACCCCAUCAGCAAAUGAGCACCCGGGAAUAAACGCGUGCUGCAGGUGACCUGAAACAAAGAGCUCCAUUCCCAAACCUCACCUUUCAUUUAGCAAGAAGGACUAUAACAUAUCCCCCUUUGAAAAGCCUUUCUUUCAGGUGGGCCACUGCAGAACACCACACAAGUAUUACUCAGAGCAAAAGAGAUGUAAAACAGUCUUUGCCUCAAGCGAAACAGAAGGUUGGCUAAACCCACGGGGAACCCAGGAGGUUGGAAAGCAAAGCCUUUGAGUUUUCGUGUUGAGUUUAAAUCCCGAUUUGGUUUUUCCUUCUCCCCCCCCUUCCAGGUGCAGAGCUUUGUACUCACUUUGCCUCGUUGUAUCUUCCUUGGAAGAAGGAGAACAGACCUCGGAUAUAGAAAGCUGCUGCUCGAAGGCAGUGGGAGCUACAAACAAAGCAGAACGUUGACAUUGAGGCACUGCACAGCGACAAACACAGCACGGGCUGUGUCCCAUAACCAAACCUCUGCACAAAACAUUACAUUGAACAAACAGUCAGAGCUUCUGCCUUGAAAAGAAGAGGAUUAUUCUGUCUUCUGUGAAUAAAGCCUGAUACAAAACCAGUAUUACCAUCAUCAGUGCAACAUCAGCACAGUUUCUGGAACUCUCACCUCACAGGAAAAUUGUGGUCUGGAUUUAUCCUUUCCAAUAAGCUGUAAAGCUGCAAAGUGAGAGGGGAAAAAGGAUAAUCAGUGCUUCUGACAUAUACAGCUGAUGGUAUAGACAGCAUGAGUCUGACACAAAGUGCACAUCACAUCAAAACAUUCAAGUCACUACAAACACACUGACAUUUACUUAUAUUGGUUAAAUCAAACAACAGGUGUUCCAAUGCUAGAAAUUAUGUCCAUUCUGGUCCUAGAAAC
rnacentral:lncRNA from 1 species